CUGUGUGUGUGCGUGUACAUGUGUGUGUGCAUGUUUGUGUGUGUGUGUGUGUGUGUGUGUAUGUGUGUGUUUGUCUCCAGGACUGCGUCCCGGUUCUCUCCUCUCCACGACUGAUGACAGCAGGUCCCACAGUGGCCGGAAACCAUCUGCAUCACUUCCUGUGCUGUGUGUCUUCCUGCUUACAGUCUUUAUUUUUAGCGCUGUGCACAACACGGCCUUUGACAAAGGUCUUGAUGGGAUUUCACAGGUCGUCUGAAACCACUGAAAGCCGUCCCUCCUGUCCUGUGUUCCGCAGUGCUGGGACAUGUCCAGCCAUGUUCACCUCUUUCUCUGUUACUGUUACGGGGAUGUCCAUGAAGGGGUUCUGGGUCUCCUGGUACAUUUACCUGUGCUGUGACGAAGUGCUCGUGAUGGAUGCUUUGGCUUCAACUUUAUUUUCCUUUUUCUAGUCUCAGCAUUUUUAUCUUUCUACAGAAAAAUCAUCUUGAGUGUCAUUUAUGGGAAGUGGAUUUAAUACUUAAUAUUGUCAUAUAUAACACCA